rnacentral:rRNA from 1 species
UACGUAGGGGGCAAGCGUUGUCCGGAUUCAUUGGGCGUAAAGAGCGUGUAGGCGGCCAGGUAGGUCGGUUGUGAAAACUGGAGGCUCAACCUUCAGAGGUCGACCGAAACCAUCUGGCUAGAGUCCGGGAGAGGAAAGUGGAAUUCCUGGUGUAGCGGUGAAAUGCGCAGAUAUCAGGAAGAACACCCGUGGCGAAAGCGGCUCUCUGGAACGGUACUGGACGCUGAGACGCGAAAGCGUGGGGAGCGAACAGG